AGUGAACGCUGGCGGCAGGCCUAAUACAUGCAAGUCGAACGGCAGCACAGUGGAGCUUGCUCCAUGGGUGGCGAGUGGCGGACGGGUGAGGAAUACAUGGGAAUCUGCCCAGUCGUGGGGAUAACGUAUGGAAACGUACGCUAAUACCGCAUGCGCCCUUCGGGGGAAAGUCGGGGACCGCAAGGCCUGACGCGAUUGGAUGAGCCCAUGUUCGAUUAGCUAGUUGGCGGGGUAACGGCCCACCAAGGCGACGAUCGAUAGCUGGUCUGAGAGGAUGAUCAGCCACACUGGAACUGAGACACGGUCCAGACUCCUACGGGAGGCAGCAGUAGGGAAUAUUGGACAAUGGGCGCAAGCCUGAUCCAGCCAUGCCGCGUGAGUGAAGAAGGCCCUCGGGUUGUAAAGCUCUUUGUUGGGAAGAAAAGCAGUUGGUUAAUACCCGAUUGUUCUGACGGUACCCAAAGAAUAAGCACCGGCUAACUUCGUGCCAGCAGCCG
rnacentral:rRNA from 1 species